rnacentral:rRNA from 2 species
AGCAGCCGCGGUAAUUCCAGCUCCAAUAGCGUAUAUUAAAGUUGUUGCAGUUAAAAAGCUCGUAGUUGAAUUUCGGGAUCAGCAGGUUGGUCGUGCCUCUGGUAUGCACUGGUUUCGCUGAUUCCUCCUUUCUGAAGAACUGUAAUGUCAUUAAUUUGGUGUUGCAGGGAAACAGGACUGUUACUUUGAAAAAAUUAGAGUGUUUAAAGCAAGCUAACGCUUGAAUACAUUAGCAUGGAAUAAUGAAAUAGGACGUUUGAUCCUAUUUUGUUGGUUUCUAGGAUUGACGUAAUGAUUAAUAGGGAUAGUUGGGGGCAUUAGUAUUCAAUUGUCAGAGGUGAAAUUCUUGGAUUUAUUGAAGACUAACUACUGCGAAAGCAUUUGCCAAGGAUGUUUUCAUUAAUCAAGAACGAAAGUUAGGGGAUCGAAGACGAUCAGAUACCGUCGUAGUCUUAACCAUAAACUAUGCCGACUAGGGAUCGGAUGAUGUUAAUUUUUUAAUGACUCA